AAGCGGGAGCGACUUAGCGGCGGACGGGUGAGUAACGCGUGGGUAACCUGCCCCAUACCGGGGGAUAACGGUUAGAAAUGACCGCUAAUACCGCUUAAGCGCACGAGGCCGCAUGGCCGCGCGCGAAAAACUCCGGUGGUAUGGGAUGGGCCCGCGUCUGAUUAGCUAGUUGGCGGGGUAAAGGCCCACCAAGGCGACGAUCAGUAGCCGACCUGAGAGGGUGGCCGGCCACAUUGGGACUGAGUCACGGCCCAAACUCCUACGGGAGGCAGCAGUGGGGAAUAUUGCGCAAUGGGGGAAACCCUGACGCAGCAACGCCGCGUGAGUGAAGACGUAUCUCGGUAUGUAAAGCUCUAUCAGCGGGGAAGAAGGAAGACGGUACCCGACUAAGAAGCCCCGGCUAACUACGUGCCAGCAGCCGCGGUAAUACGUAGGGGGCGAGCGUUAUCCGGAUUUACUGGGUGUAAAGGGAGCGUAGACGGCGUCGCAAGUCUGAAGUGAAAGCCCGUGGCUCAACCGCGGAACCGCUUUGGAAACUGCGUGGCUGGAGUGCUGGAGAGGUAAGCGGAAUUCCUGGUGUAGCGGUGAAAUGCGUAGAUAUCAGGAGGAACACCGGUGGCGAAGGCGGCUUACUGGACAGUGACUGACGUUGAGGCUCGAAAGCGUGGGGAGCGAACAGGAUUAGAUACCCUGGUAGUCCACGCGGUAAACGAUGAGUGCUAGGUGUCGGGGGGCAAAGCCCCUCGGUGCCGCC
rnacentral:rRNA from 1 species